UACGUAGGGCGCAAGCGUUGUCCGGAAUUAUUGGGCGUAAAGAGCUCGUAGGCGGUUUGUCGCGUCUGCUGUGAAAACUCGAGGCUCAACCUCGGGCUUGCAGUGGGUACGGGGCAGACUAGAGUGCGGUAGGGGAGACUGGAAUUCCUGGUGUAGCGGUGGAAUGCGCAGAUAUCAGGAGGAACACCAAUGGCGAAGGCAGCUCGCUGGAACGGUAACUGGACGGCUAAGGGCGCGAAAGCGUGGGGAGCGAACAGG
rnacentral:rRNA from 1 species